rnacentral:rRNA from 1 species
CGCUGGCGGCGUGCUUAACACAUGCAAGUCGAGCGGAGACACAGGACGGAAAGCUUCGGCCGGAAGACCUGUGUUUUAGCGGCGGACGGGUGAGUAACGCGUGAGCAACCUGUCCUUCACAGGGGGAUAAGAUACCGAAAGGUGUUCUAAUACCGCAUAAGACCACGGCAUCACAUGAAGCAGGGGUCAAAGGAGCAAUCCGGUGAAGGGUGGGCUCGCGUCCGAUUAGAUAGUUGGUGAGGUAACGGCCCACCAAGUCGACGAUCGGUAGCCGACCUGAGAGGGUGAUCGGCCACAUUGGGACUGAGACACGGCCCAGACUCCUACGGGAGGCAGCAGUGGGGAAUAUUGGGCAAUGGGGGAAACCCUGACCCAGCAACGCCGCGUGGAGGAAGAAGGUCUUCGGAUCGUAAACUCCUGUCCUUCGAGACGAGUUCGAGACGGUAUCGGAGGAGGAAGCCCCGGCUAACUACGUGCCAGCAGCCGCGGUAAUACGUAGGGGGCAAGCGUUGUCCGGAAUGAUUGGGCGUAAAGGGCGCGUACGCGGGGCUUCAAGUCUGAAGUGA